GGUUAUAGCUCAGUAGUAGAGUGCUUGCCUAGCAUGUGUGAGGCACUGGGUUCGAUUCUCAGCAUCA
rnacentral:tRNA from 1 species